rnacentral:rRNA from 1 species
GAUGAACGCUGGCGGCGUGCCUAAUACAUGCAAGUCGAGCGAACAGACGAGGAGCUUGCUCCUUCGACGUUAGCGGCGGACGGGUGAGUAACACGUAGGUAACCUACCUAUAAGACUGGGAUAACUUUGGGAAACCGGAGCUAAUACCGGAUAAUAUUUCGAACCGCAUGGUUCGAUAGUGAAAGAUGGCUUUGCUAUCACUUAUAGAUGGACCUGCGCCGUAUUAGCUAGUUGGUAAGGUAACGGCUUACCAAGGCAACGAUACGUAGCCGACCUGAGAGGGUGAUCGGCCACACUGGAACUGAGACACGGUCCAGACUCCUACGGGAGGCAGCAGUAGGGAAUCUUCCGCAAUGGGCGAAAGCCUGACGGACCAACGCCGCGUGAGUGAUGAAGGUCUUCGGAUCGUAAAACUCUGUUAUUAGGGAAGAACAAACGUGUAAGUAACUGUGCACGUCUUGACGGUACCUAAUCAGAAAGCCACGGCUAACUACGU